UUUAAACAGCAGGACUUAUUUCUGUUAUUAUAUUUUUUUAAAACAGCGUAGAGUUUGACUGGAAACGAUCGUAUUAAAUAUCCUGCAUGUUACAGCACCCCUCUUUCUUUGGUGCGUGCGACCGGCUCACUUGACAUUUCCCGCGAAAGUUUUUUUUUUUUAUAUAUAUAUAGAUCUUUUUGCCGCUCCAAUAUCAAUUAUUAAUCAGUCCCAGUGACGUCACUCAAGGAGUUUUUUAGAAUCCGAAUCCGAAUCAGAAGAAUUUUUAUUGCCAGUGAGGAUGAUCUCAUGGAAGCUCCACUACCCCACCCAGCCUGACCAAAUUCCUAGUGUGAGGAAAUGAGAUGUGGAUGCGUUUUUAUGGAAAUAGUGUUGGGGGGGUGACAGGAAGCCAAAGUCUCUACAGCUGUGAUUUGUCUCACCCCUCCUAGCCAGCAGGGAAUAACCCCUUGUGCGUGUGUGCAUGCAUACUCCAACAAAGUCACAUACUGUCUAAGCAUACUGUGACUGUUAUUGAAGCUACAGGUGUCCUGUGGAUAUCCCCCGCAUACUGUAUUUCCAUUGUUUGUUUCUGCUGUUUAUAUUUUAGACAUUCACCUCUAGUGUACUUUGGGGAAUUUAAUGCUUUUAUUAUAAAGCUAGUGUUGCCAAACAGACCAUCUUCAUGGUAUUUUUAAAUCAUCACACCAUGGUCUUGACUUCAAACUCCUGUAGUGUGCCUGCUUGCCUUGUGCUACCCUCAGAAUGGGACACAUAAUAUCUCCCUAAUAGGAAGGGGUCUAGAAAGUGGCUCAGGCACAUAACAGAAGUGCAUGGGUUGUAUCAUAAUUGGUUUAGAAGUGCUCUAGAAUAUUCUGUAUUGUAGAAUAUUGUAACUGUUCUUAUUUCCUUAUUACGGAAGGAUGGUGGUUUCCUGUCCAAUUUUCAAUUUCAAUCAGAGGGAACUAUAGCCAAUGAAAUUCUUAUGUUACAGUUGUACACUCCUGAACAGACAUAAGUGGAAUGAAAAUUCUGAUAAAAAAAAUAAAAUAACAUAUUCUAACCUAAAAAUUAGUUUCAUGAUUGAGUUGAGUUUCAUAUGGAAGGUAAUGAGCACACAGUAGAAG